rnacentral:rRNA from 1 species
AUGACGUGCACAGCGGAGUCGGAGCAGGGGGAGCACUGGUUCAAGAUCUCCGAUUACAGCAUUCACAGGGGCAUGGGCGUCGGCUGCUACAUCGAGUCGUCCUGGUUCACCAUUGGCGGCCAUUACUGGCGCCUUCACUAUUACCCGGACGGAUAUUCGGAAGAUGGCAAGGGCGAUAUGGUGGUCGGUCUGGAGCUGAUGGAGCUGUGUGGGAAGGAAUUCCCGUCGCGGGUAUCCUCCACAAUCAGCUUGUUCUACUGGGCAACCAAGCGGUUUUCUCUUUCUUCGUCGGUGGCCAUGUCGGCCAAUCUUCGCGAUCUGAGCCACUUUGUCACGCACAACAUAAACAGGGGCAAGAUGGAAGCAUCAGAAUAUAUUGUUGAUGACCGUCUCACUAUCAAAUGCAUCGUGACCAUCAUCAAGGAGCCAUAUGUUUUCGAGGCGGAGGCCCAGGUGCCGGUGCCACCGUCGGAAAUCACGGACCAACUCGGGAAGCUGCCAGAGGCAAAGGAGGGCGCCGAUGUGACAUUCGAGGUUCAAGGAGAGGAAUUCCCGGCCCACAAGCUCGUGCUGGUGGUGCGGUCUCCGGUUUUCAAGGCCAUGCUCUACGGGCCGAUGAUGGAGAAGGAUUCAAGCCGCAUCGUCAUUGCCAACAUGCAACCCGUUGUCUUCAAGUUUCUGCUCUACUUCAUUUAUAACGAUUCGUUGCCUGACGACGACGACGACUUGCUGGAUGGAGACGAUAAGAAAAAGGUGACCAGACACCUACUCGUGGCUGCGGAUCGCUAUGGCAUGGAAAGAUUGAAGCUUAUGUGCGAAAUCAUCCUCUGCAAACACCUCGAUGCCGAGUCUGUUGCAACUACAUUGGCUUUGGCCAAUCAACAUACUCGUUCUGGGCUACAAGAUGCUUGCAUUCGAUUUAUUGCAUCAUCAUCUACUAAAAUGUUAGAUGAUGUGGUGGCAAGCGGAGGGUACAAAUCGUCUCAAAAGAACUUGUUCAGAUACCAUAAUGGAGAUGUGGGAAAAAGCAAGUAG